AUAUGAUAUACAUUCGCAUGAAAGUAUAUUUAAAAGUUGCGUUUGCAACGCUUUAGGGAUGAGGGUGCGGUUUUUAUCAGAUAGUUGGUGAGGUAAUGGCUCACCAAGUCAAUGACGAAUAGCUAUGCUGAGAGGUAGAAUAGCCACAAGGGGACUGAGACACGGCCCCUACUCCUACGGGAGGCAGCAGUAGGGAAUUUUUUCACAAUGGGCGAAAGCCUGAUGGAGCAAUACCGCGUGAAUGAUGAAGGUCUUCGGAUUGUAAAAUUCUUUUAUUAGGGACGAACGGCACUAAGAGGAAAUGCUUAGUGAUUGACUGUACCUAUUGAAUAAGUAACGGCAAACUAUGUGCCAGCAGCCGCGGUAAU
rnacentral:rRNA from 1 species